UGUCGACGAGAAUUAAAACUGGCAAAACAACUCUGGGAUUAUUAUAAUUUGGUAAUGGGUACAAUUGAGUUCUGGAAAAAGUCUCCAUGGAAAAAGAUUGAUGCUGAUGGCAUGGAUCAGGAAUGCAAACGAUUUACUAAAGAUUUACGACAGUUGGACAAAGAAAUGAGAGUAUGGGAACCUUACCUUUCCAUAGAAGGAACUAUAAAGAAUUUAAUGACG
rnacentral:misc_RNA from 1 species